GAUGAACGCUGGCGGCGUGCUUAACACAUGCAAGUCGAACGGAAAGGCCCAAGCUUGCUUGGGUACUCGAGUGGCGAACGGGUGAGUAACACGUGGGUGAUCUGCCCUGCACUUCGGGAUAAGCCUGGGAAACUGGGUCUAAUACCGGAUAGGACCACAUUUUGGAUGGUGUGGUGGAAAGUUUUUCGGUGUGGGAUGAACUCGCGGCCUAUCAGCUUGUUGGUGGGGUAAUGGCCUACCAAGGCGUCGACGGGUAGCCGGCCUGAGAGGGUGUACGGCCACAUUGGGACUGAGAUACGGCCCAGACUCCUACGGGAGGCAGCAGUGGGGAAUAUUGCACAAUGGGCGCAAGCCUGAUGCAGCGACGCCGCGUGGGGGAUGACGGCCUUCGGGUUGUAAACUCCUUUCGCUAGGGACGAAGCGUUUUUGUGACGGUACCUGGAGAAGAAGCACCGGCUAACUACGUG
rnacentral:rRNA from 1 species